rnacentral:rRNA from 1 species
CGCUGGCGGCAUGCUUUACACAUGCAAGUCGAACGGCAGCACGGGGGCAACCCUGGUGGCGAGUGGCGAACGGGUGAGUAAUAUAUCGGAACGUACCCAGGAGUGGGGGAUAACGUAGCGAAAGUUACGCUAAUACCGCAUACGACCUACGGGUGAAAGUGGGGGACCGCAAGACCUCAUGCUCAUGGAGCGGCCGAUAUCUGAUUAGCUAGUUGGUGGGGUAAAGGCUCACCAAGGCAACGAUCAGUAGCUGGUCUGAGAGGACGACCAGCCACACUGGAACUGAGACACGGUCCAGACUCCUACGGGAGGCAGCAGUGGGGAAUUUUGGACAAUGGGGGCAACCCUGAUCCAGCAAUGCCGCGUGAGUGAAGAAGGCCUUCGGGUUGUAAAGCUCUUUUGUCAGGGAAGAAACGACCCCUUCUAAUACAGGGGGUUAAUGACGGUACCUGAAGAAUAAGCCCCGGCU